GUGAGGAAUAUUGCGCAAUGCUCGAAAGGGUGACGCAGCGACGCCGCGUGGAGGAUGAAGGCCCUAUGGGUCGUAAACUCCUUUUGAGGGGGAAGAAUAGCCCCGUAUAGCGGGGUUUGACGGUACCCCUAGAAAAAGCACCGGCCAACUACGUGCCAGCAGCCGCGGUAAUACGUAGGGUGCAAGCGUUGUCCGGAAUCACUGGGUGUAAAGGGAGCGCAGGCGGAUUGGCAAGUCCUUGGUGAAAUCCUGAGGCUCAACUUCAGGCCUGCCAAUGAUACUGCUGAUCUUGAGUGCAGAAGAGGAAGAUGGAAUUCCUGGUGUAGCGGUGAAAUGCGUAGAUAUCAGGAAGAACACCGGUGGCGAAGGCGGUCUUCUGGUCUGUAACUGACGCUCAUGCUCGAAAGCGUGGGGAGCAAACAGGAUUAGAAACCCGUGUAGUCC
rnacentral:rRNA from 1 species